UAUCACUGUACCAGAAUUCAUGUCGUAUACGUAAUGAGGAAACAGCUUCAGGUUUGUAAUACGUACCAAGCAGCAAGUAAAUAACUUGAGGUGGGUCAGAUUUCUCUAGAGGUAGUGUGCGAGUAAAGGUUAGUAACGUGUUCAUUAGGUAUUCUAUACUACAGGUCUAGGAAGUCAGAAACGCUAAAUAGUAAAAGAGUUAGAGACUAAAAACAUCUAAAUUCUAAUGCCUCUUGGCAUUACAAGUACAAUUUACAUUAUCAAUAUCAUCUGCAAUUGCCACUGGGCAGUAACAGAUUUCAGGCGAGAACUCUGAUCUAUAAUAAGUUGAGAGAUUCAGACAGUAUAGGAAAUUGAACUUGGGCUUAAAUUCACAUGGAAAACUAUUGGUGUUAUAACGUCAACUACUGACCCUCCUAUGCCUCAACCAUUUACUCUUCUCGAGCAAAAGCCAACAACAACAAAAAAGUCAAGUCCCAGUCCAUUUCGUGGUAGAAGGCUGCUCUGCUUCAAGACAUAUUUAUUGAAUUAACUUAUACAAUUCUGAAUAUUGCACAAGGGAUGUAAGACCAUCAUUGUUCAUAGGAAUGACCAAACCACAGCUAUACCAGCCACCAGUCCCCCUGCUUUUAACUGUAAAUGGAAACUACAGUAAAGCAUAUGUAGAAGAUACUGCAGAAACUAAGUUGUGGGAGGACCGGUAACAAUAUCCCCAGAUUAUUUUUGGUCAUGUGGAGAGUCUUCACCUGAGGGUAGGUAAGGCUCCUCAUAUAAGAGUGAAUUCAGCAAUGCUGGUUCUUGUAGAUGCUCGUUGUUGUUGCAUCUUCUUCUGUACGUUAUUAAUAUUUGGUCGACAUA